rnacentral:rRNA from 1 species
CCUACGGGUGGCAGCAGUGAGGAAUAUUGGUCAAUGGACGAGAGUCUGAACCAGCCAAGUAGCGUGAAGGAUGACUGCCCUAUGGGUUGUAAACUUCUUUUAUAUGGGAAUAAAAUGUUCCACGUGUGGGAUUUUGUAUGUACCAUAUGAAUAAGGAUCGGCCAACUUCGUGCCAGCAGCCCCGGUAAUACGGAGGAUCCGAGCGUUACCCGGAUGUAUUGGGAUUAAAGGGAGAGUAGGUGGGUUGUUAAGUCAGUUGUGAAAGUUUGGGGCUCAACCGUAAAAUUGAAGUUGAAAAUGGCAAUCUUGAGUACAGUAGAGGUGAGCGGAAUUCGUGGUGUAGGGGUGAAAUGCGUAGAUAUCACGAAGAACUCCGGUUGCGAAGGCAGCUCACUGGACUGCAACUGACGCUGAGGCUCGAAAGUGUGGGUAUCAAACAGGAUUAGAUACCCGUGUAGUC